GGCCAUCGGUUCUCUCCACAUUAAGGCAAGCCCUCUUCAAGAGCUUUCUUUCUCGUUUUGACUCGACGAAGACUUUGCCUCUAAAGAUGGAGUGUACCAUGUCGGUGGGACUGAUAUAUUGGUGCCGUGGGUCCCUGUCCUGGUCGUCGUCUUCGUCUUCCUGACCGCGUCUGUCCUGUUUUCCGUUUUUCUUGGCGGUAUCCCCCUGAGUAG
rnacentral:lncRNA from 1 species